rnacentral:rRNA from 1 species
CGGAGGGAUCAUUAAAGAGUUCUAUAACUCCCAAACCCAUGUGAACAUACCUAACGUUGCCUCGGCAGGUCGCACCUACCUUGUAGCACCCUACCCUGUAGGGCCUACCCGGGAGGUGCGGGUAAGCCUGCCGGCGGCCCACCAAACUCUGUUUGAUAUUGAAUUCUGAACCUAUAACUAAAUAAGUUAAAACUUUCAACAACGGAUCUCUUGGUUCUGGCAUCGAUGAAGAACGCAGCGAAAUGCGAUAAGUAAUGUGAAUUGCAGAAUUCAGUGAAUCAUCGAAUCUUUGAACGCAUAUUGCGCCCAUUAGUAUUCUAGUGGGCAGGACCGUUCGAGCGUCAUUUCAACCCUUAAGCCUUCGUUGCUUAGUGUUGGGAGCCUACGGCAACGUAGCUCCUCAAAGUUAGUGGCGGAGUUGGUUCACACUCUAGACGUAGUAAUUUUUUUUUAUCUCGCCUAUUAGUUGGACUAAUCCCCUGCCGUAAAACCCCCAAUUUAUCAAGGUUGACCUCGAAUCGGUUCAGACAAACUCGCUAAAUUGAAGCAUCUUAGUCAGCGAAGGAAAAGAAACCAACAGGGAUUGCCCUAGUAACG